GGGGUUUUGACCAUAUAUGGCGCUCUGACGGUUCCUGUCAUGCAGCGGCGCUGUACGGCGCUGGUACAGCCCCAUAGUGCAGCAGCCUGACAACACUCACUCGCUCCACUUUUCCUCUUGCUUAGGCCCUAUAUGUGGAGCCAUCUGGACGUGGAGAGAGGGGAGUCAGCUGCUGCACACGCCGAGGCGCGGAGCCUGAAUCCGUCUCAGCUCAUUCUGUGGGAUCAUCUGCGUGGUGGGCUCACACCGUGGAAAAUGCGCUCUCCAUCAUUAGGUGAAAUGUUAGCCUGGAAAUAAAAGAAAUGUUGAUCCCCCCGUUUGUUUGAUUGGAAACUAUAAGAUUUUUUUUUUAAAUCCAGUGGAGGGUAAACUCUGAUCUUGCAGAGUGAAGCUGAAUGACCGGCUGAUGACACGCGUGGGGGCCCCCCCUUGCACUCUUCUGUUCAGUGACCAUACUGAAGCCCCCAAAGAUUUGAGCCUGAUACCAAAUCAAACUCCUCAGGAGGCGUGCUUUCCAAUAAAAAUGUUCACUUGGACCUCCGGAUUGAAUGAAGGGGUGACGUCUUCUUCCUUUUUUUUUUUUUCCUUUUUUUGUGUGUGAAUUUACGGGGCGAGGCCCUCAUGAUCUCCUUAAAUUUGCAUGUAAAUGGCGACAUCAGCCUCCACGCGUGCCAGGGGCCAGCGGGCCUCCCAGAUGUCAAAGCAAAGUCAAUCAGCCGGCCGCUGCCCAGCUGUCCAUCGAUGCACUUCACUGGGACAACACUUUCAUUAUGCUCACCUGCAUUGUUUCCUAAUGGAUUGAUUGGCAAAAAAAUGUUUAAAGUGUAUGGAGAAGGAGGAGAGGAAAUCUUAUUAGCACCCACAGAAAAGAUCUCUGCACGGCUUCAUCACAGAGGUUGCUUUAAAGUGAUCUUCUUUUCGAUUAAAUAUUAAUCAAACAGUCUCUUCGCAUCAUUCUGAAUUUUAGAUGGAACAAACAGGCAGUCAGCCCACUUAUUGUUUACAAAAACUCGUUGAGAGUCUCAAUUUUUGUGGGGAUUAGUUGAUUUAUGCUCCAUUUUUGUUAUUUUUUAACAUGGGAAUCGAGGCGCCGGAAAUUCUAAAAGUAAAAGAAAAAAGUGCGACUUUUACGCAUUUUUAUUCCGUUUUUUGUCAACAAAACAUUUUUUACUAAUGUUUUUCUAAUUUUUUAAAAUGAUUUUGUGCAUAUUAUUUCUCACGAACUAACGGAUUGAGAAAAAAUUAGAGAGGAAAGCCACUUUGUAGGCCUGCUGAGCGCACGGAUUUAGUUUGACAUGCAAAAAAAAAAAAAAAAAA